GAUGAACGCUGGCGGCGUGCCUAAUACAUGCAAGUCGAGCGAGAAUCUGAUGACUUGAGAUUCGUCAAUAUGAUUCAGAGGAAAGCGGCGGACGGGUGAGUAACGCGUAGGCAACCUGCCCUUAGCAGAGGGAUAGCCAUUGGAAACGAUGAUUAAAACCUCAUAAUGCUGUGAGAUCACAUGGUCAUGCAGCCAAAGAUUUAUCGGCUAAGGAUGGGCCUGCGUCUGAUUAACUAGUUGGUGAGGUAACGGCUCACCAAGGUGACGAUCAGUAGCCGACCUGAGAGGGUGAUCGGCCACAUUGGAACUGAGACACGGUCCAAACUUCUACGGAAGGCAGCAGUAAGGAAUCUUGCACAAUGGGGGAAACCCUGAUGCAGCAACGCCGCGUGAACGAUGAAGGCCUUCGGGUUGUAAAGUUCUGAUCUUGGGGAAGAAGAAAGUGACGGUACCCAAGGAGAAAGCCCCGGCUAACUAC
rnacentral:rRNA from 1 species